UCCAUAAUCUACAUAAACAACCUAAUCCGUCCUUACAUUUACAUCACCAACCAGUCAUGCUCUCACAUCCAGCAGAUAUUGUGUGUUGCGCUGCGGUUCUUUGCAAAUGGAAGUUUUUAUAUGAUGUCAGAGAUGCAGAGUAAGACAACUGUAUGGAGGACAGUCAGAAAAGUUUUCCUGGCUCUGAAACGACUUUUACCAUCAUUGUGGACACAAACCUGUCAGAACAUCAAGGAGGAUCCACAGGAUUGCAGGAUUUCCCAGUGUGAUUGGCUGCAUAGAUGCACACACAUCCCCAUCACAGCUCCCUCACAUCAUGAACAGGAAGUCCAUUCACAGCAUAAAUGUGCAGGUAGGCUACAGGUAGACUGACUACUGUUUCUAAAUGUUAAAGACUGCAUCAUAGUUCAACAUCUGUCAUUCUCUGCACUGUCCAGAUCAUAUGUGAUGCUGCAUGCAUCAUUUCUAAUGUGGAGGCCACGUGGUCUGGGUCUGUUCAUGACUCCAGGAUUUAUGGAGAGUCUAACCUGAGCAACAGACUGCAGCGUGGUCAGCAGCAUAAAGAUUUUCACAAUAGAAUUCUCUUGUCUCCCUCCUUUAAUAUGCUCUGAUGUAUCCACUAUACAUUACAGGAGAGUUUGAUGGCCUUCUGCUGGGUGACAGGGGUUACCAUGACAACCCAGGCUGAUGACCUCAUACCCUGAACCAGGCCCCCAACAGAACUUCAACCGGACUCACUGCAGGACCAGAGCCCGGGUGGAGAUGACCAUAGGCCUGCUGAAAGCCCGUUUCCAGAGCCUACGUCUCCUCAGGGUGACCCCUGAGAGGGCCUGUGAUAUUACUGUGGCAUGUGUUGUUCUUCAUAAUAUUACCACUAUUAGAGGAGAGCAACACCCUGCCCUACAAACUGAAGACCCAGAUGAUGAGCCCAUCCACCUGCAGCUAUCCAGGACAGCAGAGCAGUCAGAGACACCGUAUGCAAUAAUCACUUUAGAGUUUAAGUCUCCAUCAUCACCACCACAGCAAAUAAAGACAUGAUACACAUUU